UAAGGUGUGUUUUGGGGCAGGAUCCUAGAAAAUGGACCUAUCACGCGUUGGGGUUGUAGGGGCCAGUCACAAGUGGAUAGUGGAGGAAACGACUGCUGUCUACCAUCAGACCAGCCGAACGGAGCGGACUAAUAUAUUUAGUAGAUUUGAUUAAACUUUUAUUUUCAUUCAUUGAUUGGUGUGAGUGAAAACUGUGUUACGAAAUCUGGAGCAGAAGAGCAGAGAGCACCAUCUCUACACAGCAUGACCCCGGAUAGAGAGAGGAGGAGGAUAAUGAGUUGUGAAGCAGCGAGGGCUAGGCGGAGAGCAGAGUCUCAGGUGUUGAUUGACAUGUCUCAACUCCUCCCCCUCCCUUCCUCCCUCCGCCCACAGCUAGACAAACCCUCCAUCAUACGACUAACCAUCAGCUACCUACGCAUACACACACUGCUCUCUGGCUUUGCUGACCGACAGACGUGGGAGAGGAGGGACGAGGAGGGAGAGAGGGAAACGAGGGAGGAGGGAGAGAGGGAAACGAGGGAGGAGGGAGAGAGGGAAACGAGG